UCACUACUUACGUAGGUAGUCUCUUUAGAGUCCCCAGCAUAACCUGAUGGCAACUAAAGAUAGGGGUUGCGCUCGUUGCGGGACUUAACCCAACAUCUCACGACACGAGCUGACGACGGCCAUGCAGCACCUGUCACUUGGCUCCCGAGGGCACUCCACCGUUUCCGGCGGAUUCCAAGGAUGUCAAGCCUGGGUAAGGUUCUACGCGUAGCGUCAUAUUAAACCACAUCAUCCUCUGCUUGUGCGGGUCCCCGUCAAUUCCUUUGAGUUUUAGCCUUGCGGCCGUACUUCCCAGGCGGUGAACUUAAUGCGUUAGCUGCGGCACUGAUCGGGUCAAUCCGACCAACACCUAGUUCACAACGUUUAGGGCGUGGACUAC
rnacentral:misc_RNA from 1 species